rnacentral:rRNA from 1 species
GAUUAGAUACCCCGGUAGUCCUGNCCGUAAACGAUGGGUACUAGGUGUAGGAGGUAUCGACCCCUUCUGUGCCGGAGUUAACGCAAUAAGUANCCCGCCUGGGGAGUACGACCGCAAGGUUGAAACUCAAAGGAAUUGACGGGGGCCCGCACAAGCGGUGGAGUAUGUGGUUUAAUUCGACGCAACGCGAAGAACCUUACCAGGUCUUGACAUUGAUGGACAGAACUAGAGAUAGUUCCUCUUCUUCGGAAGCCAGAAAACAGGUGGUGCACGGUUGUCGUCAGCUCGUGUCGUGAGAUGUUGGGUUAAGUCCCGCAACGAGCGCAACCCCUAUCUUAUGUUGCCAGCACGUAAAGGUGGGAACUCAUGAGAGACUGCCGCAGACAAUGCGGAGGAAGGCGGGGAUGACGUCAAAUCAUCAUGCCCCUUAUGACCUGGGCUACACACGUACUACAAUGGGAGUUAAUAGACGGAAGCGAGAUCGCGAGAUGGAGCAAACCCGAGAAACACUCUCUCAGUUCGGAUCGUAGGCUGCAACUCGCCUACGUGGAGUCGGAAUCGCUAGUAAUCGCAGGUCAGCAUACUGCGGUGAAUACGUUCCCGGGCCUUGUACACACCGCCCGUCACACCACGAAAGUCGGAAGUGCCCAAAGCCGGUGGGGUAACCUUCAGGAGC